rnacentral:rRNA from 1 species
UACGUAGGGGGCGAGCGUUGUCCGGAAUUACUGGGCGUAAAGGGCGUGUAGGCGGUCAAUUAAGUUAGAUGUGAAAGACCCGGGCUUAACUCGGGGAUUGCAUUUAAGACUGGUAGACUUGAGUACAGGAGAGGAAAGUGGAAUUCCUAGUGUAGCGGUGAAAUGCGUAGAUAUUAGGAGGAACACCAGUGGCGAAGGCGACUUUCUGGACUGUAACUGACGCUGAGGCGCGAAAGCGUGGGUAGCAAACAGGAUUAGAUACCCUGGUAGUCCACGCCGUAAACGAUGGAUACUAGGUGUAGGAGGUAUCGACCCCUUCUGUGCCGUCGCAAACGCAAUAAGUAUCCCGCCUGGGGAGUACGGCCGCAAGGUUGAA